UACGUAGGCAGCGAGCGUUGUUCGGAGUUACUGGGCGUAAAGGGCGCGUAGGCGGCGCACCAAGUCAGGCGUGAAAGCCCUGGGCUCAACCCGGGAAUUGCGCUUGAGACUGGUGUGCUCGAGUACGGGAGAGGAUAGUGGAAUUCCCAGUGUAGAGGUGAAAUUCGUAGAUAUUGGGAAGAACACCGGUGGCGAAGGCGGCUAUCUGGACCGUAACUGACGCUGAGGCGCGAAAGCGUGGGGAGCAAACAGG
rnacentral:rRNA from 1 species